rnacentral:tRNA from 1 species
AUCUAUAUAGUAUAAUUAUUAUAAUUAAUUUCCAAUUAAAAGAUUUAAAAAAAUUAAUAUAGAUA